UGGGUAAUAUUGGACAAUGGGCGAAAGCCUGAUCCAGCCAUGCCGCGUGAGUGACGAAGGCCUUAGGGUUGUAAAACUCUUUCGUCGGGGACGAUAAUGACGUUACUCGCAGAAGAAGCACCGGCUAACUCUGUGCCAGCAGCCGCGGUAAUACAGAGGGUGCAAGCGUUAAUCGGAAUUACUGGGCGUAAAGCGCACGUAGGCGGUUUUUUAAGUCAGAUGUGAAAGCCCCGGGCUCAACCUGGGAAUUGCAUUUGAAACUGGAAAACUAGAGUGUGUGAGAGGGGGGUAGAAUUCCAAGUGUAGCGGUGAAAUGCGUAGAUAUAGGAAGGAACACCAGUGGCGAAGGCGACCACCUGGACUGAUACUGACACUGAGGUGCGAAAGCGUGGGGAGCAAACAGGAUUAGAUACCCAUGUAGUCCCUGAGCGGGCUGGCAAGGCGC
rnacentral:rRNA from 1 species